GUAAACCUCUUUUGCCGGGGAGCAACGGGCGUCACGUGUGGCGCCACUGAGAGUACCCGGAGAAAAAGCAUCGGCUAACUCCGUGCCAGCAGCCGCGGUAAUACGGAGGAUGCGAGCGUUAUCCGGAUUUAUUGGGUUUAAAGGGUGCGUAGGCGGAUCGUUAAGUCAGUGGUCAAAUUGAGGGGCUCAACCCCUUCCCGCCAUUGAAACUGGCGAUCUUGAGUGGAAGAGAAGUAUGCGGAAUGCGUGGUGUAGCGGUGAAAUGCAUAGAUAUCACGCAGAACCCCGAUUGCGAAGGCAGCAUGCCGGCUUCCGACUGACGCUGAAGCACGAAAGCGUGGGGAUCGAACAGGAUUAGAUACCCUGGUAGUCCACGCGGUAAACGAUGAGCGCUAGGUGUCCGGGGGGAAUGGCCCCUGG
rnacentral:rRNA from 1 species